rnacentral:tRNA from 1 species
GGGGGCGUUGUAAGGGAAAAGAAUUUUUUAAACUAUUGCGUAAUUAAUUUUUGGGUAUAGCUUAAAAGAUUUUUGUGGGUUCGAAUCCCACCACCCCCGCCA